ACUGUGAGGUGCUGGGUGGCCACCGCUCCUCCCUGCUCCCCUAGCCUUCCAAACCAAGCCUACAGACUAUUUUUCUGCACUGUUCAACCUCUUGGUACAAGCAGAGUUUGAGUUGCUGCCCUCCCAAGUUAGCCCUCUGCUGGAGCUUUGGCAAAGAACACAAGGAUUGCUUAAAAUUCAGUAAGUGCAGGAGUUCCCUGGUGGCUGAGUGGGUUAAGGAUCAGCAGGUGUUUUCACUGCUGUGGUGCAGGUUUGAUCACUGGCCCAGGAACUUCUGUAUGCUGCAGGAGCAGCCAAUAAGUAAGUAAGUAAGUAAGUAAAUAAAUAGAUAUUUUAAAGUAAGCUUUUAAUAUAUCCCUAUAUUUGUAUAGGGCAUCGCUUCCUGUUUGAAAACUAUUUGCAUAGUUCUCUAAGUUUCUAAGAUUCAACUGCUUUUUUGGUUUAUGGAAUUGAGAUUAACCAUGAUACAUUUUCAUGGUGUCAAUUAUCUGAAAUGUAGGCAUUCACCCAAUUCAUCCAUCUAUCCAUUCAUUUAUUCACCUAUCCAUCCACCCAUCCAAUAAUUUUAAAGUCCCUAUAAGUAACUCAUCAGUCUUUAUAGCACUGAAGUUGAGAGAGAAUCCACAGUAAUUAAGAGACGAUAAAUGUCACACAGAUCCCUGUUGCUUAUUAAGCAACUGAAAAUAGAAAAGCUCAGGGGAGAAUGAUCUGUGUGAAAGUUAAAGAUUCUUCCAUGGAGUGAUUUUACCAACCAUAUGCAUCUGCAAAAUAUAGAAAGCCAAGCCCAGGCAAGAUAAGCUCAUUCUGUGCUCAGGACCUGCUAAUUGGCUUCACAUGUAUGUGGAUGGAACCCUCAUGGGGCUAGAUUCCCAUAUGGGGAGAGAAAUGAGAUAAUUCACUGAAAGAUAUGUCUGAGUCAGACUGAGGGAACUGUUAUGAACUGGGCUGUGGCUAUAAUCAGCGUUAGUGCGAGGAUGACACUUUAGGGAGAUAUUGAUGGUCAAGAUGCGUUGAGUUUGAAUGCUGUUUUUCCAUUUCCUAAGUAUGACCUUGGGCUGUUUGUUCACAUUAUUUAUUCAGUAAAUAUUUAUCGAGCCCUGUUAUGCACCAGGCAUGGUGUGAGGUGAUGGAAAUUCUCUUGCCCUCACAGUAUAACACUGAUCAUUUUUUGAGCUUCACUUUCCUAAUCGUAACAAUAGCUAUCCUUCAGAAUUGUGUGGAGUUACGUACAAGGCCUAUCUGAUUAGCUACUGAAUGGGACUUUUCUUAUUGUCUCAGGACUGGCAACUUGGUUACAAAGUGGGGGGCAAAUAGAUGAUAAUUAGAGGACACAUAGAUGAUUAGGAUUUAUUAAGAGGCAAAUUCAUUUUCUGCCCCAGUUAUCACUCCCUACUCGUUAAUCUCAUCUGAGAAAAGUGCUGAGCUUCAGAAAGAGUUCCAUAUCUUCUACUCUUGGAGAGUGCUCCUUCUAAAAUAAGCCAAUGGGCUGCCCCAAGAGAAUUAUCUGUAGAGACUGGGGAGGGGGUACCAGCAGGCAGUCGAGCCUGGAAUCUCAUUUUUUAGUUGGAUACCCGCUUAUGCGAUGAAUGAAUUUGCUAAACUGUACUUUUUGUCUAUCUAAGCAAUGGGAAAGAGAUUUAGGGAGAGAACUCAGUGUAGAGAAAAUGAGCAGUAGGGGGAUAGGCCACACUCCCAUUAUCUGACAGGAAAAAGGUGCAUGAGUCUUGUGUAGAUCAAGUGGAUGCCAUGGAAAUCUUGAAUUAUUGUGAUGGAACCCUAUCCUAAAGUGUGACUAAGAGAAAAGACCCAGCAGGGAAAGUUUGUAGGGUGGAUUAUAUAAGGGUGGGAUUUGAGGGAGAUUGGAAAAUGUCCACUGGAGCUGAUUUCCUAUAAGAGGUGGCCAUGCAGUGAAGAGGCUGCCAAAGAACCUUCCAGAGAAUCCUCAGGUGUCUCCCAAGAGGUGUGAUAUUGGGAUGGUUGCCAUGGGGGAGGGCAGAGAUCAUAAUGGCAAUGAUAAGGAAAAACAUUUCUGCUCCCUUUGAGAAUUCUGUCUUCCUCUCUUUAACACAGCAAAGGACUCAGAAGUUGUGUGUGGGACAGGGGUGGGGGUGUAGGCUGGGGGGAAGCAUCUAGAGAUGCCCCUUCUCCUUGCCCACAUUCAUACCUCAGGGCUGUUCCUGGGUCUAGGGAAGAAGAUGGACAUUUAAAUCGGAUGAAAAAUGGACAUAGAAGGCACUGGAGUAUAUCUUUUACAACCUGAAAAGGUCAGAAAACUGGCAUCUGCUGGAGGUGCCAUAAAGUCUUGGGAAGGGGCGAUGCAGUGGAGCAUGUUUUAAAGCAGUAAUUGAAGAAAAAUAAAACCCUAUGGAGUUUGAACCCUGCUGAGUUCACAGUGUUCAAUAAACUGCUGACAAAUGUGAAGUGCUUAGCAAACAGUCAGUGCUUCACAAAUGGAAGGUAUCAUUACUCCUAGUCACCUGAAGAAAAUAAAUAUUCAGAAAAUGUCCACAUGUUUUAAUAUCAAAGAGCAAGUAAGAUGCUCAAUUUGGAUUUUUGCUUUAGGAGAAAGCAUAAUGUUGUGUUCAUUAUGUCCUCAUGUUUCUGUUUUUGUCAUGAAGGGCUUCUCAGAAUGUUUUCUGGGCUGUUUCACCACAUUCCUUUUGCUAUUUUAGGCAUUUACCAUUUUUGUCAUUUCAUAGACAGCCCACUCACCCCCCUACCCCACCCCCCGCCCUCAGGGAAUGAGAAAAUCAUAAAGGUGCUCUAUCCCCAAGCUCCAACUUAGAUGAAGAUAAAAUCCUAUUUAAUUAUUGGAAAAAUACUUCAAGUUCUUAAAAACAAAGUGUCUUGUGUAGGUGUGCAAUAAAGCAGUUUCUGCAGAUUCAGUACACAGAGAGGAGACUGAGAGUCCUGACGUAGUGAAGCAGAAGGACAAGGACACUGGGGUUGGCCCAGAAGACGCUAAUGACUUCCAGCAAUGUGACACUUACGUGUGUGCUAUUCAACCCCAUUUAGCGUCCAUUUCUUCAACUAUCCAAUGGGGGGUUUAUCAAGGACCACACAAAUGAUUUAAAUGAGCUGAUUCUGUAAAGCAUGUAGCCCAGUGCUAGGCACAAUUUGAUGCUCAAGAGAAAACUGUUUUCCCCUUUCCAAGGUUGCAGGGUAAGUAGAAAUAGUGGGUGGUUCAGUGGAAAGAGAGCUACUGCGAAGGGAGUAUCUGAAAAAAUUUACUGAAUAUUCACUUGCCAAUUAAGCCAACUAGAGCUGGUGACAGUUUAAAUGGCACUAUUAAGAAGAGUCACAGAAAAUCAUGAUGACACCAUUGGAGCAGAGUGAGGUACUGGUAUUUUUAUAUUUAUUUUAUAAUGUAUUAAUAUCCUGAUAU
rnacentral:lncRNA from 1 species